rnacentral:rRNA from 1 species
GAAGUAAAAAUCGUAACAAGGUCUCCGUUGGUGAACCAGCGGAGGGAUCAUUACCGAGUUUACAACUCCCAAACCCCUGUGAACAUACCACUUGUUGCCUCGGCGGAUCAGCCCGCUCCCGGUAAAACGGGACGGCCCGCCAGAGGACCCCUAAACUCUGUUUCUAUAUGUAACUUCUGAGUAAAACCAUAAAUAAAUCAAAACUUUCAACAACGGAUCUCUUGGUUCUGGCAUCGAUGAAGAACGCAGCAAAAUGCGAUAAGUAAUGUGAAUUGCAGAAUUCAGUGAAUCAUCGAAUCUUUGAACGCACAUUGCGCCCGCCAGUAUUCUGGCGGGCAUGCCUGUUCGAGCGUCAUUUCAACCCUCAAGCACAGCUUGGUGUUGGGACUCGCGUUAAUUCGCGUUCCCCAAAUUGAUUGGCGGUCACGUCGAGCUUCCAUAGCGUAGUAGUAAAACCCUCGUUACUGGUAAUCGUCGCGGCCACGCCGUUAAACCCCAACUUCUGAAUGUUGACCUCGGAUCAGGUAGGAAUACCCGCUGAACUUAAGCAUAU